rnacentral:rRNA from 1 species
UACGGAGGAUUCAAGCGUUAUCCGGAUUUAUUGGGUUUAAAGGGUGCGUAGGCGGUUUGAUAAGUUAGAGGUGAAAUACCGGUGCUUAACACCGGAACUGCCUCUAAUACUGUUGAGCUAGAGAGUAGUUGCGGAAGGCGGAAUGUGUGGUGUAGCGGUGAAAUGCUUAGAUAUCACACAGAACACCGAUUGCGAAGGCAGCUUUCCAAGCUAUUACUGACGCUGAGGCACGAAAGCGUGGGGAGCGAACAGG